AUAGAACAUCACGUGAUAAAGUUGAUGGAAACGGCAAAAUAUUUAUUUACAAUAUAUGUGUUUCCAGGGGAAGAGCCUGUUACAAAGUCUGUGUCUAAAAAAAAGUAAACUCGCUCCUUGUCGGACAAAACUGAAUGUAAUUAAGUUAACUACCUAUGUACAUUAUCAGUGGAGUACUUGAAUUAAUAUCAAAUUGUAACCCGAGAUGCUGGUGCCACACCUUAUUACGUGACCACCCAGUGAGGCGUGAACACUCAGGGGCAUGAUAUACACCCUUGUGUUUGAUUUGAUAUACCAAUCAGCCGUGGACGCCCGACCAUAAAAAUGGUAUAUAUAGAUUUAACCCUAAUCAGGUAUCGUUAAAUAUCGUUAAAUCGUCGAGAACGUUCUGUCAGACGAUCAAACGAUAACUAUUCAACAAGUCGGUAAAUCACAUCGAAAACCCAAGUUCUGGUCGCAGUGAGAAGCUCUGGAUACCUUGAGGAGGGUUCACCAGCUCUGCUUCAACAACGUUGACAUGGAUCUUACCAACGUCAUCAACAGUCAAGGCAGACAUCUUUCUUCAAGAAAUCUGCCCAAAAGGAAAAACACUGAAAUUGGACCAGUAAAGCUGCAAGACUUUGUCGGCCAGUCAAAAGUGGACGCUGCAAUCCAAGGUGAAACUUUCUUUCUCAUGGUGGGGCACACGCAUGAAGAUUUGGAUCAACUGUUAAGUGUUUAGUGCAAGGGAACUUAGACAGAAGCCUGCAACAACCCGCGAUGCCCUCCUUCAAGAUUGGGGACAUCCGGACACCCACCACCAAGCUAUGAGACUUCAAGCCCUUCAUGCCUGCCCCAAGGGAAGCGACAACCCUCCCAACUAAAGUUCAAAGGCAAUAGAGAAGAACAAUGAAAAACUGCAAAAACAAUCAAAGAUCACUCUGACAAAGCACCGAAGACAAGCGUCAGUAUCAGAACAAUAAAGAAG